rnacentral:rRNA from 1 species
UACAGAGGGUGCAAGCGUUGUUCGGAAUUACUGGGCGUAAAGGGCCAGUAGGCGGCCAACUAAGUCACACGUGAAAUCCCCAGGCUUAACCUGGGAACUGCGUGUGAUACUGGAUGGCUUGAAUUCGGGAGAGGGAUGCAGAAUUCCAGGUGUAGCGGUGAAAUGCGUAGAUAUCUGGAGGAAUACCGGUGGCGAAGGCGGCAUCCUGGACCGACAUUGACGCUGAACGGCGAAAGCUAGGGGAGCAAACGGG